UUUUCAACCCAACUUUAGUGUGACAAUGUAUCAAUUUUAGAGUGCUUUUCAGUUUUAGAUGAAAAUGAACAUUUUAGGAAAGGUUGAACUCUUUAAGAAAACAGAAUGGAAAAAAUAGAAAGAUACACACAUUGUAGAAGAAAAACAGAGUUUAGUUUGCUAUUGCAUUUUGCUGUCCAAAAUGAUGAUGAGGAGCUAAACCCCAUUUUGUCAAGAUUGGAGGUAGUAGCUAUUCCUAUUUGCUUAUGUAUUCCAUUUGACUCUUGUAUAUGACAAAAGGUUAUUGAUGUAUUAAGUGAUAUUUUUGCCCUAUUUUAAAUAUUUACUUUGAGUAGUUGUUGAGAAAGAUUAUUCAAGUCUUGACUUAAAAUAUACUUUCAAGUAGUGAAUGAGUUGUAGAAAUAGAUUUAUACACUACUCUUCUUUUUGUAUCAAACAUUAAAGAUUGUUAUAUUGAUAGUUAGGUAGAGAAAUCAUUUAACCAUUAAUAUAGUGAUUAUCACAAUAUCAUUUAGAGAUAAAUGAUAUUGAGAGGAUACUUGAAUAUCAUCAAUAAUUUUAAAUCUAUAUAGUUGUCAUAAGGAAACAUAAGAAAUUUGAAUAGUGAACUUCAAUCUUGCCAAACCUUUUACAUUUGAUUAAAACUAUUUUAUUGUUUUAGUGACAUUUUACUCAAAAGAUAACUUUUCAAACAAAACAACUUGGUUACAUUUUAAACUUAUAACAAUUUAGAUUAUAGAACGGCGGUAAUAACAACCAAUCUCUGUGGAUACGAUAUUAAAAUAUUUGCCGAAAAUAUACUUUUCAACAAAUUGGCGCUGUUGCCGAGGAGUUCUUGAAUUAAAUACCAAUGAUGCUAUUCUUGCUCAAAACAAGCUACCUUCUCAACAAGUGGAGUUGCUCACUCAACAAAUGUCAAAACUCCCACAACAAAUGAAGGACAUACAGGGAUCUCAAUCUAGACAUCAAGUAGCAUGCUGCGAACUAUGUCAAGGAGAUCAUCCAACCGGUUAUUGUCCUUCAUUGGAAGAAGUGAGUUAUGUGAAUAACCAAAACCAAGGUUAUCAAAGACAACCCCCACCCCACAAUAACUCAUAUCCAAGGAACAAUCAAGGUUAUCAACCAUCAAGGUUCAACGACCAAAAUUUUCAGCAACAAAGUCCUUAUCAACACCCAAAUUCUCAAGGACAACAAUCGCAAGGAGGAAAUUCAAAGCUAGAAGACACUCUCCAACAAUUCAUGCAAGCCUCCAUGGCAAACCAAAAGAGUAAUGAGGCAGCUAUUAAAAAUUUGGAGAAUCAAGUAGGCCAACUUGCGAAGCAAUUGUCGGAAUAACACGUAAGUUCUUCAUUCUCCGCUAACACUUAAACCAAUCCAAAGGAGCAUUGUAAAGUAAUUGUUACGAGAAGCGGUAAAGAGUUGACAAGUGGAAAAAGUGAGGAGAUUAUAGUAGAGAAUGAUAUGGAUGUUGUACAUGAAAAUGAGGAUGUGGACUGUGAAAAGGAGAAAGUGGCCGAAACUGUUCAGUUCGCGCCGCGAAAAGAGCAGAAACAGCAAGAGUCAGCAGAGCAGCAGGGUGAAGUGGAAAUGAAGAAAGAAGUCGAGCCAAGAAAGAAGAAGAAAGGAGACAAAGGCGUGAGUGCCAUUCCAGCUUAACAUCUACCUUAUCCGCACGCACCAUCAAAGAAGGAUAAUGCUAGACACUAUGCACGGUUUAUGGACAUAUUCAAACAACUUCAAAUAAAUAUUUCAUUUGUCGGCGCAUUAGAGCAAAUGCCACGGUAUGCAAAGUUCAUGAAGGAUAUUCUCACAAAGAAAAGGAGAUAUGUGGAAGACAAGACAAUCUUGCUGGAUGCACGUUGUAGCGCCAUAAUCCAAAAAACUCUCCCAAGAAAGGAAUCUGAUCCGGGCCGAGUUGUUUUACCGAUAACCAUUGGAGGCACUUACAUUGGUAAUGGUUUGAUCGACUUGGGAUCUAGCAUCAAUUUAAUCCCCUUAUCCAUUGUGAAAAGAUUGGGGAAUGUUGAGAUUAAAUCUACAAGGAUGACUUUACAACUAGCCGAUAAGUCUACCACUUCACCAUAUGGGGUUGCUCAAGAUAUGCUAGUGAAGGUGGACAAAUUCUUGUUUCCAGUAGAUUUUUUGAUAGUGGACAUGGAUGAGGAUCGUGAUGUUCCUCUAAUUCUUGGAAGAUCAUUCAUGAAAACAGCCCGAAUGAUGAUUGACAUUGAUGAUGGACUCAUGAAAGUAAGAGUGCAAGAUGAAGAGGUGACUUUCAAUCUUUUUGAAGCCAUGAAGCAUCCUAAUGACAAGCAUGAUUCUUUCCGAAUCGAUGCCACCGAGGAGGAAAUAGUGGAAGUUGCAAACCAAGUUCAUGUUUCUAAUCCGUUAGAAAGAUCUCUUAUUGGAGCUUACAAUGUUUUGACCGAAAAUGAAGAAAAAGAGAUUGAAGCAAUUUUGCAUGAAUUGGAGUCGUGUGGAGAGAUUGCUUAUCAUGAAGAGACAAAUGAAGACCUGGAUGUGAAGAAGAAAGUGGAAGAGCCAAAACUAGAGUUGAAAAUGCUACCUUCACACUUGAAGUAUGUGUUCCUAGGUGAUGAUUGUACUAAACCGGUGAUCAUUAGCAAUACCUUGUCCACAAAAGAGGAGCAUAAAUUGAUACAAGUGCUAAAAAAGAAUGAAGGUGCAAUAGGGUGGGUAUUAUCUGUAACACCCCGAUAAUAAUAAAAUAAUUAUUUAAAGUGAGUUAAUAAUAUAUUUAUUAAUUUAAUUAAAUAAUUGGAAAUUUUAUUAUUAUUAUUAUUGGAUUAUUAUUAUUAUUGGAAAAUAUAUAAGUUGGAAUAAGGAAAAAGGGUUUCAGUAUUGGUAAAGAGUUUUCACGUGAAACAGAGAAGCGGCUGAAAGGUGAAAGGUGGAGAAAAGGCAAAGAGGAAGAGCUAGAGAGCAAAGGUUGAAGAACGGAAAAGCUCGAAGCUUAGAGAUUGCCGGAUUAUCUCAGGUAAGGCGGGUUUAUCGUCGUUUAAUGGGUAUUAUAGAUUAACAUGUCAUGGGUAGUGAUAAACCGUUGAAGUGACCCUAAUUGGGAUGUUGAAUGCUGAAAUAUUGUGAUGAAUAAGUUGUAUUAAAGCUGUAAUUGAGUCCGUAAUUGUGUGAGUCGUGUUCCCCCGAACGUGUAGCUUUUUACGGAAAUUGAAUCGGAGGUCCGGAAGUCCUCCAACGGCGGAAAAUGCGGAGAACUCUGCAUUCUGCCUUGUGUUAGCGCAGGAACUGCUGUUUUGCCUGCGUUAACCGGUUAACCCAGGGCGUUAACCGGUUAACACUGUUAUAUUUUGUGGAAAUGUGCUGUUUUGCCUGCGUUAACCGGUUAACCCAGGGCGUUAACCGGUUAACACUGUUGCGUUUUGCCAGAAAGUGUGUUUUGUCCUGCGUUAACCGGUUAACCCAGGGCGUUAACCGGUUAACACUGUUGGAAAUUAGAAAAAUUGAUAUUUUUAAUGUUGUGAACCUAAUUGGUGAUUGGCCUAUUAUAGUUAAUUGUGAUGAGUAAUUUUGUUGGAUUUAUGUUAUGAAGUGUUGAUACAAGUAUGUUGCUGAGUUGUUCCGUGUACGGAAAGUUGUUGAAAAUACUGAGUUGUAGGCUUGGUGAGCCAAAGUUGAUUAUAAGUUGAUGUUGUUGAAAACAUUGUUGUAUUGCUAUUAUUAUUAUGUUGUCGACAGUUUAAAGUCGUGUAUGCCAUGUACAUUCAUAUGCAUUAAGUCGGAGCUUUGCUCACACCACGUUGGCCUGGAUUGGCAAAUUUUAAGUUGAAAGUUGAAGGCUUAUGCCUUGAUGCCCACUAAAAUGGCAAUGAUUUUAAGUUGGGAGUUUUACUCCGAAUGGUACCACAUGCAUGACGAGUCGAGUCUCAUUUGAGUUGCAUUUUAUGUUGUUAUUGAGUUGCAUUUUACGUUGUUAUUGAGUAUGAUAUUUGAGUUGAUGUGCCGUUACUGAAUGCAGGAUAUGAUUAGGGUGAUUAACGUGUAAAUUUACUUAGCAUUACAUGAUGAUUUAUAAUGCUUAUUAUAUCGAUUGAGGAACUCACCCUUACAACUAUUUUUCAGGUAACGAGCAGUGAGUGAGUAGAAGCUAGUGCCUGGAGUCUAGUGUAGUCUACGUAGUGGGUCGUGCUCUGAUAGAUGUAACAUCGGGACGGGAUGUUUUAAUUGUUUAUUGUUGAUUGUUGAACCUUUUUACCUGUAAAACGUUAUAUGUUUUGAAUGGUUGGUUGAUUCUAUCCGCUGCGAAUUUUGCAAAAAUGUUGUUUUGAUUAAAUAAAGAGCAUGACAGUUAUUAUGGUGUGAAAUGUUGUGUGACACCCUUGGUGCAUGAUUACUCUGAUAUAUAUAUAUAUAUAUAUAUUUGUUGUUGUUAUUAAAUAUUUGGGGUAUUUUAGAAGGGUGUUACAUUAUCCGACUUGAAGGGUAUUAGUCCGGCCUAUUGUAUGCAUAAGAUCAUGAUGGAAGAAAAUUUCAAACCCGUUGCACAACCUCAAAGGCGCUUAAAUCCAUCAAUGAAAGAAGUGGUUAGGAAAGAAGUUGUCAAACUCUUGGAAGUCAGAAUGAUUUAUCCUAUCUCCGAUAGUGAAUGGGUGAGUCCGGUGCAAGUAGUUCCAAAAAAAGAUGGUAUGACGGUUAUCAAAAAUGAUAAAAAUGAGUUGAUUCCAACUAGAACAGUAACCGGGUGGAGGAUGUGUAUUGACUAUAGGAGGCUAAAUCAAGCUACAAGGAAAGAUCAUUUCCCGCUACCUUUCAUGGACCAAAUGUUGGAAAGGUUGGGCGCCAAAAAUUUCUAUUGUUUCUUGGAUGGUUAUUCGGGUUACAACCAAAUUUUGGUCAAUCCGGCGGAUCAUGAGAAGACGGUUUUUACAUGUCCUUUCGGCAUUUUUGCUUACCUAAGAAUGCCUUUUGGAUUAUGUAAUGCACCGACAACCUUUCAACGGUGUAUGCAAGCAAUAUUCUCGGAUUUGAUCGAAGAAUGCAUUGAAGUGUUUAUGGAUGACUUCUCCGUUUAUGGAUCGUCCUUUGAUUUUUGCUUGAAAAAUCUUGAUGUGGUUUUGGAAAGAUGCGUGGAAACAAACUUAGUGCUAAAUUGGGAGAAAUGCAACUUUAUGGUCACCGAAGGUGUUGUUCUUGGUCACAAAAUCUCUUCCGAAGGGCUAGAAGUUGAUAGAGCAAAGGUGGAAGUCAUUGAAAAAUUACCACCUCCAACAAACAUCAAAGGAAUAAGGAGCUUUCUUGGACAUGCCGGAUUUUAUCGGAGAUUCAUCAAGGAUUUCUCAAAGAUAGCAAAGCCCUUGAGUAAUUUGCUCAACAAAGGUACGCAAUUUCUUUUCGAUGAGUCGUGUCUAAAAGCAUUCCUUGAGUUGAAAGAAAAGUUAGUCACCGCACCCAUAAUCGUUGCACCAAAUUGGACACUUGAUUUUGAACUUAUGUGUGAUGCAAGCGAUUAUGCGGUUGGUGAGGUUUUGGGUCAAAGAAGAAAUAAAAAAUUUCAUGUCAUCCACUAUGCUAGUAAAGCUUUAAAUGAGGCGCAAGUCAAUUAUGCGACAACCGAAAAGGAGUUACUAGCUAUAGUGUAUGCAUUGGAAAAAGUUUAGAGCUUAUUUGAUCGGGUCCAAAGUUGUAGUUUACACCGACCAUUCGGCAAUCAAGUAUUUGCUAACCAAGCCGGAUUCCAAACAAAGAUUAAUUCGUUGGAUUUUGUUAUUACAAGAAUUUGAUUUGGAAAUCCGGGAUAAAAAAGGUUCCGAAAACUUGGUAGCGGAUCAUUUGUCCCGUUUGUUUAAUGUGGAAAUUACAAACAAGGAAGAAGAAGUAAGAGAAGAAUUUAUGGACGAAAAGCUUUAUGCGAUUCAAGUGAGGCCUUGGUUUGCCGAUUUUGCUAAUUAUAAGGCAACCGGUUUGACACCGGAAGACCUCACUAGUAAUCAAAGAAAGAAAUUCUUAGCGGAUGCAAAGUACUAUGUGUGGGAUGAUCCGUAUUUGUUUAAAGUGGGUGUGAACAGUAUUUUAAGAAGGUGUGUGACACUUGAGGAGUCAAAAGACAUCCUUUGGCAUUGUCAUAACUCUCCGUAUGGAGGUCACUAUAGCGAUUUGAGAACAGCCACUAAAGUGCUCCAAGCGGGCUUUUAUUGGCCGUCUUUGUUUAAAGAUGCACAUGAACACGCGAAGAGUUGUGACACAUGUCAACGAAGUGGAGGAAUAGGAAAACGGAAUGAAAUGCCUCUAACCAACAUGUUAGAAGUAGAAGUUUUUGAUUGUUGGGGUAUUUAUUCCGUUGGCCCAUUCCCCUCUUCCUUCUCAAAUGAGUAUAUCCUUGUGGCCGUUGACUAUGUUUCGAAGUGGGUGGAAGCAAUUGCUUCACCUAAGGCCGACGCCAAAACGGUGAUAAAUUUUUUAAAGAAAAACAUAUUCUCACAUUUUGGUGUGCCUCGGAUGUUGAUAAGCGAUGGAGGAUCACACUUUUGCAAUACACCUUUUGAAAUUUUUUUACAACAUUAUGGUGUAAAGCAUAAGGUGACUACUCCCUACCAUCCACAAGCGAAUGGUCAGACGGAAGUUUCUAACCGAGAAGUGAAGAGGAUCCUUGAAAAAACAGUCUCGAGUUCAAGAAAAUGACUACUCCCUACCAUCCACAAGCGAAUGGUCAGACGGAAGUUUCUAACCGAGAAGUGAAGAGGAUCCUUGAAAAAACAGUCUCGAGUUCAAGAAAAGAUUGGUCAUUAAAAUUAGAUGAAGCUUUAUGGGCGUAUCGUACCGCCUACAAAGCUCCUAUUGGACUAACUCAAUUUCAGAUGGUGUAUGGGAAGACUUGUCAUCUCCCGGUGGAAAUGGAGCAUAGAGAACUAUGGGCUCUCAAAUUCUUGAAUUUUGACUCCACUUUAGCUGGAGAGAAAAGAAGGGGACAGCUCCAUGAAUUGGAGGAAUCACGGAACAGUGCUUACCAUUCAAAUAAAUUGUACAAGGAGAAAGUGAAAGCGUACCAUGAUGGAAAGGUCUGUCACAAAGAGUUCAAAGUUGGACAAAUGGUACUUCUUUUCAAUUCAAGAUUGAAGUUAUUUCCCGGUAAGCUAAAGUCCAAGUGGUCGGGACCAUUUGUUGUAAAGGAGGUGCGAAACUAUGGGGCCAUCGUGGUUGAGGAUCCAAAGUCACAGGAGAGCUGGACUGUAAAUGGACAAAAACUAAAAGUCUACCAUAGUGUCAAAGUGAAUCGAGAUGUCUGUGUCAUUUCCCUAGCCAGACCAUGAAGAUCAUUGAACCGUCGAGCUCAAAACGACGUUAAACAAAGCGCUUGUUGUGAGGCAACCCAACGUUGUAAGUUUGCAUUUCAAGUUUUGUCAAUUCAGUUGUUAAUGUAUUCUGUUUUGUUUCUUUUUAUUUGAAAAUUGAGUUCUGUCUACUGCCAACAAUUUUUAAAAUUUCCUUCAGUUCGCCCCGCGAACAGCCUUCGCCUCACGAACUGAAUGGAAAAGUUCAGGUUGGCGCCGCGAACAAAGUUCGCCCAGCGAACUAAGCGUGGCAAAACCUUUUAAGUUCUGUUUUGGUGUUAUUUCUAUUUCAUUUCCAAAUUCACAAUUUCACAAUUCUCUUCAUCACUUUCACUACCCCACUUCCAAAUUCACAAUUAAUCCUCUCCACUUCAAAAAUCCCAAACUUUUUAACAAGAAUCAAGUCAAUCCUCAACAAAGGUAUGUGUAAUCUCUUCCCUUUCCUCUUUGUUCCUCAUUUAGAUGAAAUAGGGUUUUGCUAGAAAUUGAUGUAGUUGAUGAAUUUAGCCUUGCAUGUCUAUAGAGGACUCAAAUUAGGAUUGGGUAAGAGAUUAUGGUUAUGAUUGAGAAACGUUUUUGAGCAGAAGGAACCCUAGAGGCUGCUGUUAUUUUCCUGGUUCGCAAGGUUCGCGCCGUGAACUGGGAAAUUUUAGUUUCAUGAUUUUUGAUUUUGAAUGCUAACUUCUCUUAUGGCUUUUGUGCGGUUGUUUCUGAUUUUUGUUGCAGAUGUCAAAACGUACCAAAACCACAAGCUCCGGUCCUUCUCGAUCCGUGCGAUAAUUCACUAGUGAUGAGCACGAGGAGAGAUUCGAAAAAUUGAUCAAACGGACCAUUCAACCGGAAAGAUUCAUCCGCUUAUCACCGGGUGGAACUUAUAGGAAGCUGGUGUCGAAUUUUGAAAGAAGAAAAUGGAACAAGAUUUGUGAACCAGAGCCAGAGAUAAAUUAUGACAUUGUGCGUGAGUUCUACGCCAAUGCUUUUCAGUUGGAGGAGGGAGUGGCAUUUCACUAUCAGACAAGAGUGAGGGGAAAGAUCAUUUCCUUCAGUAGGGACGCGAUCAACGCGUAUUUGAGUAAUCCUCUAAUUUUGGCGGAGAAUGGACGGUGCGAGUACCGUGCCAAAGAAAUGGCCAACGAUUGGGGCCUUCCUACUGUGAUCUCUCAUCUAUGCCUUGAAGGAAGGACUUAUGAUUUGAAUGAUCAGGGAUUCCCGAAGUCGUGGAAGAGGGAGAGUUUGAACUUGGAAGCAAGGGCCUAUUUGGUGCUUCUAUUGAAUAAUAUUCGGCCAAGGAGCCACAGCACCACCAUUCCAUUGGAUGUCGGAUGCCUAUUAUACUACAUCAUGAUUGGUAAAUCAGUAGAUAUGACAUCCAUCAUUGCGGGGGAAAUACGCAAAGUUGCUACUAUUGGAACGAAGUUCGGUGGGAAAGUUGGUGUUCUAACAUAUCCGGGGCUGAUUAUGGGACUUUGCCGAAGGGCAAAUGUUCCCAUUCCGGAUGAGGUACACUUGUCUAUCACCAGUAUUAUUAAUGAUGCUAAUCUUAACAGGUUUUGCCAGAGCCAGAUGGACAGAGCUGAAGGAGCUGGCACUUCUUCCUCUAGACCCCGAGCCCGCAGUACGCCAUCAUUCGAUCAGAUGGCGUUCGCUACCUACUGCUGUGAGAGCUUUGAGGCCUCUAGGAGGUCUCAAUCAUUCAUUUUUGAUGCUAUGCAGCAGCAAUUUCAGAACACCUUCCUUGCGCCCGAAGCCCGCACUUUUCCUUCCUAGGCGGAGUAUGCUACUUAUGCUAAUUGGCCUGAGGGCAAGCCAGCUUUUAUGGGGGGUGCAGGAGGUGGUGCGACCCAUGAUGAUGAGAUGGAGGAUGUCCUUGGAUCCGUUGGUGGUGAUCAUGAUGAGGAAGAUUGAGGAUUUUUUUUAGUAGUAGUAGAUUUUUAUUUUGAGUUUUUAUUAUUAUGGUUUUUGUUUAAUUACUAUUGUACUUUUGGUGGCUCUAGUUUCACCAUAAACUUUUGUUUGUAUUGCAGUGAAUCAUUUGCGGAGAUUAAUGUGGUGUUAUCAUGAAUUGUGGUAUACCCAUUUGUUGUUUAAUUUUUCUUACUUUAAGUUAAGCUUAAAGCAACCAGAAAUGCUUGCAAAGAAGGAAGCGUAUGACACUUCGAUGGUGAUGAUAAGAAUUAGUGUCGGCAUUUCAAGACAACAUUAUCGCUUUCUAGACUUAACAUGAGUAGUUUGAUGGUGUGUUGCAAUUCCAUAUCAUAAAUUCAUUGAGAUACAUGUCUUUUGAAUCAAAAUAGGACUUAACCAAUUGUGAGGUAGCUUUCCAUUGUACACUAAAUGCGGGAAACCGAACAUUAUUCAAUUCAUUCUUAUCAUGCUAAAUCAUGCAUUAAUCUAUUUUUGUGAAAAUUGUGAGAAUGAUAGAGGCAUUGUUGUUAGUGAGAAAACCACUUGGCAAAAAGUUUUGAAUCAACUAACCUUGUGAGGAGUGAUCCUUAGUUAACCCCUUUGAGCUUUUAGGAUUCAUUUGAUUGAUAAGUGUAAAGUCAAUUGAAAAUUUUGUGAAUAAAUGAAUCCUAACUUCUUUCGUUUCAAUUGAACCCUCAAACUGAGUUUUUGCAAAUUUUGUCUUUCGCCUAUGUCUAAGUAGGGAGCAUUAUUGAAUAAAUUUGGUUUUGAAAUCUAAAGUUGGGGAGAGUAAAUUAGAAGAGUUGAUUAGAAACUUGGAAAAGUGAUGUUUAUAAAAGGGUGAAAGUGUGAAAGAAACAAGAAAAAGAAAUCAUGUUUGAAACUAUAGAGCAAAGAAAAAGAAAAGAAAGAAAAAAACAAAGAAAAACUCAUGGGUGUGGAUGUGAAAAAUAGAAAGAAGAAAGAUGAGGAUAAAGAAACGGAAAUGUUGUUAAGUUGAAUGUAUGGGAAUGCUCCCUUAGGAUAGGCAUUUUGUUGAAUGCUCUUAAUCAUAUCCUUUCUUGUAACCCAAGCCACAUUACAACCUUUGAAAGACCUCUUGAUUCUCAUUUUCACAUGAUUAGUAUUUGCUUUGAUGAUCGCAUGAUUCGAGUUGUUGUUGAUUUAAUUGUUUGGAUGAUGAAGUAACCUUCAUGUUUAUUCAUCAUAUUAUGAUGUGUGUGUAAGUUUGAUUCAAUUUUGACAUGUAUUGCUUUGAAUCUUUGUAUGUUAUUUGCACCCAACCAUUGCUCUUAUUCAUGUUUGUCUAGCAUUGAGAUAGGUGGAUUGAGAAAGUGCCACACUUUUGAACCAUUUGAAUGUCCUUGUUAAUCCUUGUUCAAUAAUUGUUUCAUUGCUUUGGUUGUUUUGGUGAAAACUUUUGUUUAGGGACAAACAAAAUGAUAGUUGGGGAGAGUUGUUAGGGACCAAUUAGUAUACUUUUCAUAUAAUUUUAUUGGUCCCUUUUACCAUUUUCUGAUUUGAAUUACAAACUUUAUCCUCACAAUUUUGUAUAAAUGCAAUUAAGUUUAAGUGAUUAUGUUUUAAGUAGAUAUUUCACGUAUUUGUUAGUUUUGUAGAGUUUUUGGACAAGAGAGCAUUGGAGUGCAUAAGCAUAAUUUGGAUGAAGUUUCAAUGGCAAUUUGGAAGCAUAAUUUGGAAGAAUAACACUUGGGAGAAUUCUUGAAUGAAGCUUGCAAGGCAAGGAAGCUGAAAUUGCUUCAGUCCGCGCCGCGACCAGGGAUGGCACCACGAACCUUGCGAAACCAGCAAGCAUUUUUUUGGGCCAAGUGUUCUGUUUUCAACCCAACUUUAGUGUGACAGUUUUGUAUCAAUUUUAGAGUGCUUUUCAGUUUUAGAUGAAAAUGAACAUUUUAGGAAAGGUUGAACUCUUUAAGAAAACAGAAUGGAAAAAAUAGAAAGAUACACUUUGAUUACAUUAUCGCAGGCUAUGUGUCGAAGGUGCAGAAACUCGUCCAUCUCAUGAAGGGUUGUGGCGUAACCCUAACUGAUAGGAUGAUAGUUGGUAAGUUAAUAUGUAUGUUGACCUUUCACUUUGAUUACAUUAUCGUAGCUAUUCAAGAAUCCAAAAAUGUUGAAACCCUAAAACUGGAAGGUUUGGUUGGUUCGUUGGAGGCGCGUGAGAUUAGGAUUGUCGAAUGAAAUGGAGUUCAAGACUCGAUACAAGCACUAUAGGCUUAGUCAUGGAAGAAGAAUCGUGGUUUCAACAAGUUCAAAGGCAAAAUUGACAAGACUCUGGGCAAGAAGUCUUGGUUAAAUACUCACAAGAAUAAGGUCGGUGAUAGAUCUUAUGAAUCCUCGAAAAGAGAAGAAGGAAAUUCUUGUCAGAAAGACAAAGAAGAAAAAGAAAAAAAGGUGUGCAUUGUUAUAACUGUUAAAAGUGAGGUCACUUGGCCAAGCAUUAUUGGUCCAGAAAAGACAAGGGAUCGACAAAAGGCAAGGAAGAAGGAGCGAACCUUGCACGUCAAGAUUCAGAUGAUUCUGAUGAUAUGGUGGUUAUGCCUACAGUUGUAGAUGACCAUGUCGAAUCCAAGAUCUAGUUCCUUGACUCAGACUGCUCGAAUCAUAUGACUGGUCCAAAAGUAUGGUUAGUAGAUUUUGAAGAGUUGAAGAAGAGCAAGGUUAAACUUAUUGAUAAUAGCUCAUUGCACGCCGAAGGUACUGGUAACAUAGUUAUUUAAAGGAGUAAUUGAGCGAAAGCCUUAAUCAAAGAUGUACUUGGUGUCCCUGGAAUGAAGUGCAAUCUUGUAAGUGUUGGGCAACUGGUUGAAAAGGGGUUCUCAGUGGUUAUGAAAGACGGAGCCUUAGAACUUUUCGACAUCUAGAAUAACUUGGUCUUUAAAUCUCCUUGGCCUAAGAAUAUAACAUUUAAGACCAUGAUCAGUUCGAUUGAGGUACAAUGUCUGAAAACAGUUGUCGAUCACAAAAAUAGUUGGUUGUGGCAUCUGAGGUUUAGUCGUCUGAAUUUUAGGCCGCUCAAUCAACUGAUCACUCAAGAUAUGCUAAUUGGUAUACCAAGUCUUGAGAUUCACAACGAACUCUGUGAAGGUUGUCUAGUUGGAAAGAAAUCCAAGAAGUCUUUCGUUUUGACUAUGCCAAUGAGAUCCUCCUGCAUACUCGAAGUUGUACAUCCAGACGUAUGUGGUCCUUUUGAGGAGCAUAUCAUUGGUGGAAACAAGUAUUUUGUUUUGUUUUUCGAUGAGUUUAUUCGAAGUGGAUCUAUGUGAUCAAGAUAAAGGGCGAAGUAUUUGAAAUCUUUAAAAGAUUCAAGAUGCUUGUCAAAAACCAGAGUGAAAAGAAGAUCAAGGUUCUACGAACAAAUGAAGGUGGUGAAUACACAUCCAAGAUAUUUGAAGCAAUCUCUAAAUAACAUGGUGCUAAUAAUAAGGUAACCGCACCUUGUACUCCUCAACAUAACGGAAUAGCAAAAAGAAGAAAUAAGACCAUAUUGGACAUGGCAAGAUGCAUGCUGAAGCAUAAGAAUUUUCCAAAAUAUUUAUGGGGUGAAGUUGUUUCGACUGUUGUUUAUAUUCUGAACAAGUGUCCUACCAAGAAGCUAUAGAACAAGGUUCCUGAAGAAGCGUGGAGUGGCAAACGACCAUCGGUGAUUCAUCUGAAGGUGUUUGGCUUUAUGUGUUACAAGCAUGUCCCUAAUGCAAGAAGAAGGAAGCUUGAUGACAAGAGUGAACCUAUGACUCUGGUAAGAUAUCAUAAGACUAAAGCAUACAGGUUGUUCAGUCCAAUUAAUUAGAAGAUUAUGAUUAGUCAAGAUAUUGAUUGAUGAAAAUUCUUCUUGGGAUUGGAAUUUUAGUAAUGCAAUUGAUAAGCGAUAUAUGAACUAUGAUUUCGAUGAACCAAGUAAUGAUGUCGAAGUCGAAGAUAUUGUUUAUUUUCCAGUUGAAGUCGAAGUUUUUGCUAACAUUCUCGACACAGUCAAAGUCAGAGACGUCAUGGAUAGCACAAGUCAUAGACCUUAAAGAACUAGAGCUCGCCCAACAAGAUUUCAAGACUAUGAAGUGGUUGGUGAUGAUAAAGUCACAACAGAUGGAGAACUAGUUCAUUUUGCUUUACUUACAGGUGUUAAAUCAAUCAACUAUAGUAGGGAUUUAAAUAAUAUGAAGUGGAAGUUUGAUAUAGGCGAAAAUUUACAAGCAAUCGAGAGAGACAACACAUGGGAAUUGGUCGAAUUGCCAGCAUAUAUAAAAUCUAUCAAAGUUGAAGCACAAUGUUGAUGGGUCAAUAGCAAGACAUAAGGAGAGACUGGUAGCUUGAGGAUUUCUUCUACGAGCAGGACUCGACUACUCUGAAGUCUUUGCACAUGUUGCAAUAUUGGAAACUAUUCUACUAGUGGUAGCCUUGGCAUGUGAACAAGGUUGGUCGACAUUUCACUUAGAUAUGAAAUUGGAACUUUUGCAUGGACCUUUAGAUGAAGGGGUGUAUGUCACAUAACCUCCUGGGUUUGUGAUUCAGGAGGAAGCAAGAAAAGUAUACAAGUUGCACAAAGCGCUUUAUAGUCUCAAGCAGGCACCUAGGGCAUGGAACAAGAAGAUUGACUCAUACUUGGUCGAAUUGAGAUUCGUCAUAUAUAAAUGUGAGUAUGGUGUAUAUGUUCAGGUUAUGGAACAAGAUAUAACAAUCAUCUGCUUAUAUGUUGAUGACUUUCUAAUAAUUGAAAAUAUCUUGAAGAACUUGUCAAAGUUCAAAAAGAUGAUGAAGAAGGAAUUUCAAAUGUCGGAUAUGGGAAAGUUGUCAUACUUCCUAGGCAUGGAAUUUCAAAUGUCGAAGCAAGGUAUGAUGCUACAUCAAAGAAAGCAUGUCAAGGAGAUACUCAAGAGAUUCAGGAUGGAUGAUUCGACUCCUGCAUCUUCGUCUAUCGAACUAAAUUUGAAGUUGCAAAAGCAUGGAGAGGAAGACAAAGUCGAUGCAACUUUGUUCAAACAAAUUUCGGAUCUCUGAGAUAUGUGUGCAACAGUCGAUCUGAUAUAUGUUUUUCAGUCGGAUUAGUGAGAAGAUAUAUGAGUGAACCAAGGGUGUCACGCAUGAAGGUUGCAAGAAGAAUCCUGAGAUACUUAAAAGGAUCGAUAAACUAUGGAAUUUUAUUUCGACGAGACUCUGAAAGCAAAGAAGUUAUGGUUACUUGUUAUUCAGAUGUUGAUUGGUGUGGAGAUAAGAAAGAUCGAAGAAGCACUACUAGAUAUUUCUUUUAAGUAUUUGGUACCUCAAUCUCAUGGUGCUCGAGAAAGCAACUUGUGAUGGAACUAUCAUCGCGUGAGGCUGAAUAUAUAGCAGGAUCAUAUGUUGCAUGUCAAGCAAUUUGGAUCAGAUCUGUGCUGGAAGAGAUCGAGGUCGAAGUGAAGAAUUCUUUGGUACUGCAGAUCGACAACAAGUCAGUCAUAAAUCUUGCAAAGAAUUCAGUUUUGCAUGGAAGAAGUAAGCGCAUAAAAGCUAGAUUUUACUUCUUAAGGGAGAAGGUAAAUCGAGGUGAACUUGAAGUAAGACAUUGCUCAAGUGAAGCACAAUUGACCGACAUUUUCACCAAAGAAUUGAAGAUCGACAGGUUCCUAACGCUUAAAAAGAAAUUUAGGAAUAGUUUAGUGUGUUUCAACAACUUGGAUUAUAAUGAAGUAUGUUGGGAUAUUAGAUAUAAUUCAAGUUGAGUUAUGUGGCCCCAAGUCUGAAGCUAAUUAGGAUUUAUGAUUUAUUAUUUAAUUUGUUAUUUUACUUAGUAUUCAAGUCAUUUAGAUAUAUAUAAAUUGACCCUUUGUAAUUCAUAAUUAACAUUUAAUUUAAUAAUAUAAUUCUUAUUUUUUUAUUCUCUUUUUUUCUCAUCAUUAAAAGUGUCUCAAACACUAACAAGAACAUGAGGUUGUGUUGCUGAAGAUUCUUGUUCAUGAGAUCUAGUUUGGUCGUUUUAGUUUGUGCUUGCUUUUGUGUUUUCUAUCCUCUUUAUUUGGUUUUCUUGUUUUUUUUCUUGUUUUUUUUAGCGAGGCUCUUGGGCACUUCUUUGUGUCGUCAUGUUCCUUUAUAUUUUGACUCUUUAUAACCUUUAUUGUUAUAUUUAUUUGUCCUUAAAAAAUAUAAAAAUUAGAAAUUUUCCUAACUUAUCAAUCGCAAUUCCAAUUUUUUUCAUAAACUCUUUUACACUCAUAAGUGUCAUGCGCUAUUUCAAUCUAAAUUUUAUAUAAAAAUAUAUUUUAUUUGAUUGAUUAUUAAUGUAAUUCAAAGCCAUGCGACUAGGGAUGUGCAAAAAAAAACGAUUAUUCAUAAUCAAAUUUGUAUCUAAAUUGUUUCACUUUUAAAAAUUCAAUCCAAAUGCUAAAAUAUAAAUAUGGGUAUCCAUUUUGUUAUCCAAAUAUAAAUCGGUAAUCAUAAUAAUAAUGUAAUUUAGUUAUUGGGUACCCAAAUUUUAUUAUGUGUUAAAUUGAUAGGUUUGCUUCUUUUCAUUUUUUAUCAUAUAGACAUAUAUACAUUAUAAACUAUUUAUAUUUUAUUAAUUCUUUUAAAUUUCAUAAAAGAAAAAUCAGAAAAAAAUUUAGAAUAAAAAAAUAGUUUUUUUUUUAUUUACGAAAAAAAUAUUAUAUUUUGAAAACAAUUAUAUUCCAAAUACAUACCACCACAAUAUUGUUUAAUAUAAGAUCUAGAAAUAUUGCAGCCGAUAAGCUAUAGGAGUUUCUCGGAGCUUAUUAUCUUCAAUAUAAUUCAUAGGUUUUAUAAUAUAAAUAUUUGUUUCUAAUUGUUGUAUGUUGUUAGUCUACAAGUUAAAUGUAUUAAUAUCAGUUGAGAAUGUGGUUUUCAAAUUAUAUUUUUAACAUUUAAGUCCCAUGGGAAAACUAAUGUUUUUCCCAUGGGAAAACUAAUGUUUUUCAAAGUGAAGAAAUUAAAGUUUUAUAUAAGUUCAUUUAGUUUUUACUUUUUAUAGAAUUUCUUAAAGGUGUCAACGUAUGCAACAUCCGAGAAUACGGUUUCAACACUUCCACUUACAUUAGAGAUUUUUGAAAUUUGAAAAAAAAAUUGACAAAUUAUUUAUUUUAUGAACAAUUAUGAGAGAUUUUAGAAACUUGAACAAUUUUUCUAAUGAACUAUUUAUUUUAUGAACAAUUAUGAUUUAUAGAGAUAUGAUUCGUAAUUAUUUUAUUUUAUGACCAUUUUUAUGUAACACAUCAUAUUUUGAGAUUGUUUUUAAUCGAGAUAUUAUUUGUGGGGAUUAUAAAAGUCAAAUUUAAAAUAAUUUUUUAAAAUAAAUAUUUUUUUUACAUAAAAUAGUUUUUAUAAGUAGUGAAAAUAAAAAAGUUAGUUAAAAGAAAAUAAUUUUUUUUUAUAUAAAAUUGAUUUUUUAAAAAUAUAGUUUUAAAAACUAUUUUUUUUAUAAAAUUGAUUUUGAAAUUGAUUUUUUUAAGAAAAUAAAAAAUUAGUUUUAAAGAAAUUGAUUUAAAACUAUUUUUUUUUUAACUGUUUUUUUUUUUUUGAAAAACCGGUUUAAAACCGAUCCACUUAUAAACCGGUUUUAAAAAAAUAAAUUGAAUUUAUGAAAAUAGUUUUAAGAUCCAAACCGAACCAUAUAUAUGAUUCAAUUUGAUUUGGUUUAUGAUCCAUGCACACCCUUACCUGCGACAAUGCCAUAAUGGAGUAUGUCCUUCUUUUAUUUUUUUUUAUCAAAAUAGAGUGUGGUCGGUGAACCAAAAGACAUACAUCUUUUAGGCCGAAGAAGAAGACUAGUAUAAUAAGAAUAGAGAAAAUAAAUGAUAUACUGAAUUUAUUUUAUAUUAUCAAUCAAUAACGAUGAUGUAUCUCGUCAAAUAAGAUUGAAAAAUUUAAAAUAUUAUAUAAUAUAGCAAAAUAAUAUAUUUGUAUUGAAUGUAUUUGUAUAACUUUCAUUAUUAAACUGAUAUGAAUAAUUGAAAAACAACUGUACUAAUUAAUAAAUUCACCCAAAUGAGCUAAUUAACAAUAAACAGGUCUAUGAUUCAUUUAGAUAAAUUUAAAUCUAUUGUAUUUUGUUUGCAACAACUAACUUUGAGACUAGUUUAUUUUUUUAGAGGGUAGGUGAGUUAUGAUCAUUUCUACCAAACAUUUUAUUUUAAUACAUAAUUCUCAUCACCAAAGUUGGUGGUGGCAUUCAACGAAGGCAUGACUAUUUUUUUGUUUUGUUUAGAAAUUUACAUCACUAUCUUCUUAAUACAAAACUAUAUAUCCUUAAUUGGUAACAUCACUAUUUUAUAAUAAUAUUUUUAGUUUUCUUUUAUUCUAACAGUCAAACUUGUUGGGUGGAAUGUUCAUGUGCACGCUGCACGAAGUUACGUUUUUCAUUCUUCCAUAAAUUUAAUCCAUUUGAAUAUAUGAUACAAUAGAAAAAGUCAAUAAUUAAUAGUAUGUAGUUUGACUUAAUUAACAACCCUUUCAAUAGUUUAAGGAAUUCUGAUUUUUCUACUCAACAAGAGGAUGCCGUUUGAUUUUCUACAAGGGGCUGCUGCAUGCUAUAUGCUUGUCUUUUACACAACAACAUCUACUUUUCCAAUUUUAGAUAGCAACUUUUUUUUAUAAAAGAUAUUAUUAUUGAACUAUCCUAAUAAUUAAACAAUUGAUAUUUUUAAUUUUAAUGUUUUUUGGUACGUGUCAUUAUUGAAUCCGUCUUAGAAUUAUUUUAAUAUUAAAAUAUGGGUAGUAAUAACCAAAAAUAAAAUUAUUGACCAUGCUAUGUUCAUUUAAGUUUUUACUAAUAAUUUUAGAAAAUGAUCACCCUUCAUAGUAAAUUGAAUUCAACUAAAGUGCGGAUUUAGAGAAUGGACAAUUGAUUUCUAAAAAAAAUCGGUGCAUAAUAUUUGAAGACAACAAACUUAAGAAGCUCAUAACUGGAUGAAGAAAUUUAAUUAGAGUUUAGGAUUUAUUAUUUAGUUUGUUAUUUUACUUAGUAAUCAAGUCAUUUAGAUGUAUAUAAAUAGACACUUUGUAUUUCAGUUUUAUUAUUCAUUCAAUUCAAUACAAUCUUUAUUUUUUUAUUCUCUCUUUCUCUUCUCACUAAAAGUGUCUCAAGCACUAAAAAUUGGUAUCUAGAAUUCCAGUUAGAUUCUUGAUCGUGUUUUCGGGAUUGUGGGUUGUUGUUGAUCAAUCACUGCAAAGAUGAAUGGUAACAGAAAUUUAUCAAACUCCCUUCCAACUCUUAACGACAAGAAUUGGCUUCGAUGGAAAAAACAAAUGGAAUCACUAUUUGGCUUUCAUGAAACCCUAAAAGUGGUUAUUAAUGGUGUUCCUGCGGUUGGUGAAGAUUCAACUGACGCACAGAGAAACGCUCACAAGGAUGCCAAGAAAAAGGAUUGCAAUGCGCCAUUUUACAUCCAAUUGCAGUUGAUGCGGAAAACUUCGACAUAAUCGCUCAUGCUAAAUCGGCGAAGGAGGCGUGAGAUAUUCUUGUCUAGUACUAUGAAGGAGGCGAGAAAGACAAGAUUGUCAAGUUGCAAACUUUGCGAUGACAAUAUGAAUUGUUGUCGAUGUAAGAAGACGAAAAGAUUGUAGGUUAUGUUUCGAAGGUGCAGAAACUAAUCUAUCUCAUGAAGGGUUGUGGUGAAACCAUAGCUGAUAAUAUGAUAGUUAAGAAGGUAAUGCGUACGUUGACCUCUCACUUUGAUCAUGUUAUCAUAACUAUUCAAGAAUCUAACAAUCUUGAAACCCUAAAACUGGAAGAUUUGGUUGGUCCGUUGGAGGCGUGUGAGAUUAGGAUUGUCGAAAGGAAAGGAGUUUAAGACUUGAUACAAGCACUACAGGCCCAGUCAUUGAAGAAGAAUGGUGUUUCAAACAAGUUUAAAGGAAAAAUCGAUAAGACUCUGGGCAAAAAGUCUUGGUCGAAUCCUCACAAGAAUAAGGUCGAUGAUAGAGCUUCUAAAUCCUCGAAAAGAGGAGAAGAAAAUUCCUAUCAGAAAGAUAAAAAAGAGAAACAAGGUGUGUAGUGCAUUAAUUUUGAAAAGUUGGGUCACUUGGCCAAGCAUUUUUGGCACAGGAAAGAUAAAGGAUCGAUAAAAGUCAAGGAUGAAGGAGCGAACCUUGCACGUCAAGAUUCAGAUGAUUCUGAUGAUAUGGCGGAUAUGGUUGUAGUUGCAGAUGACCAUGUCGAAUCCAAGAUCUGGUUCCUCGACUCAGGCUGCUCGAAUCACACGACUAGUCGAAAAGUAUGGUUAGUAGAUUUUGACGAGUCGAAGAAGAGCAAAGUCAAACUUGUUGAUAAUAGCUCGUUGCAAGCUAAAGUAUUGGCAACAUAGUUAUUUAAAGGAGUAAUGGAGCGAAAUUCUUGAUCAAAGAUGUACUUUAUGUCCCUGGAAUAAAGUGCAAUUUGUUAAGUGUUAGAUAACUGGUCGAAAAAGGGUCCUUAGUGGUUAUGAAAGAUGGAGCCUUAGAACUUUUCGACAUCCAUAAUAACUUGGUCUUGAAAUAUCCUUUGUCGAAGAAUAGAACAUUUAAGACCAUGAUCAGUUCGAUUGAGGUACAAUCUCUAAAAACAGUUGUCGACCAUAAAAAUAUUUGGUUGUUGCAUCUGUGGUUUGGUCAUCUGAAUUUUAGGUCGCCCAAUCAAUUGAUCACUCAAGAUAUGGUAACUGGUAUACCAAGUCUUGAGAUGCGUAACAAACUCUGUUGAGGUUGUCUAGUCAGAAAGUAGUCCAAGAAGUCUUUCGUUUCGACUAUACCAAUAAGAUCAUCAUGCAUACUCGAAGUUGUACAUUCAGAUGUAUGUGGUCCUUUUGAGAAGCAUACCAUUGGUGGAAACAGGUUUUUUUUUUCAUUUGUCGAUGAGUUUAUUCAAAAUUUAUGGAUCUAUGUGAUCAAGAGAAAGGAUAAAGUAUUCGAAAUCUUUAAGCGAUUCAAAAUGCUUAUCAAAAACCAGAGUGAAAAGAAGAUCAAGGUGUUGCAAACAGAUGGAGGUGGCGAAUACACAUCCAAUAUAUCUGAAGCAUUAUGUUCAGAACAUGGUGUUGAUAAUGAGGUAACUUCUCCUUAUACUUCUCAACAUAAUGGUAUAGAAUAAAGAAGAAACAUGACCAUAUUGGACAUGGCGAGAUGCAUGUCGAAGUAGAAAAAUUUUCCAAAAUCUUUAUAGGGUGAAGUUAUUUUGACUGUUGUUUAUAUACUGAAUAGGUGCCCUACCAAGAACUUGAAGAACAAGGUUCCUAAAGAAGCGUGAAGUGGAAAAAGACCAUCAGUGAGUCAUCUGAAGGUGUUUGGCUCUAUGUGUUACAAGCAUGUUCUUGAUGCAAAAAAAAGGAAGCUUGAUGAAAAUAGUGAACCUAUGAUUCUGGUAGGAUACCAUAUUACUAUAGCAUACAGGUUAUUUAAUCCAAUUAAUCAGAAGAUUACAAUUAGUCGAGAUAUUGUGAUUGAUGAAAAUUCUGCCUGGGAUUGGAAUUCUAGUAAUGCAACUGUCAAGCCAUUGAUGAGCUAUGAUUUUGACGAAGCAAGUAAUGAUGUCGAAGUCGAAGAUAUUAUCAAUAUUCCAGUUGAAGUUGUUGCUGACAUAUCUGAAACAUACAAGGUCAUAGAGGUUAUGGCUAGCACAAGUUAGAGACCUCAAAGAACUAGAGCUCGUCCAACAAGACUUCAAGACUAUGAAGUGGUUGGUAAUGAUGAAGUCACAACAGAUGUAGAACUAGUUCAUUUUGCUUUACUUGCAAGUGUUGAACCAAUCAACUAUAUCGAGGCUUUAAAGAAUAUGAAGUGGAACUCUGAUAUGAUUGAAAAGUUACAAGCAAUCGAAAGAAAUAACACAUGGGAUUUGGUCGAAUUUUCAGCAUAUACAAAAGUUAUCAAAGUGAGGUGGGUGUUCAAAUUGAAGCACAAUAUUAAUGGGUCAAUAGCAAGACAUAAGGCAAGACUGGUAGCUCGAGGAUUUCUUCAACGAGCAGGACUCGACUACUCUAAAGUCUUUGCACCUGUCGCAAGAUUGGAAACUAUUCGACUAAUGGUAGUCUUGGCAUGUGAGCAUGGCCAGUCAAUAUUUCACUUAGAUGUGAAAUUGGAAUUUUUGAAUGGAUCUUAUGAUGAAGAGGUAUAUGUCACAUAACCUCUUGGGUUUGUGAUUCAAGAUGAAGCAAGGAAAGUAUACAAGUUGCACAAAGCGCUUUAUGGUCUCAAGCAGGCACCUAGGGCAUCGAACAAGAAUAUUGACUCAUACUUGGUCGAAUUGAGAUUCGUCAUAUGAAAAUAUGAGUAUGGCGUCUAUGUUCAGGCAGUGGCACAAGAUAUAACAAUCAUCUACUUAUAUGUUGAUGACUUGCUAAUAACUGGAAAUAGCUUGAAGAACUUGUUAAAGUUCAAAGAGCCGAUGAAGAAGGAAUUUGAAAUGUUGGAUCUUGGAAAGUUAUCAUAUUGCCUAGGCAUGGAGUUUCAAAUGUCGAAGAAAGGUAUGGUGUUACGUCAAAGAAAGUAUAUCAAGGAGAUACUCAAGAGAUUCAAGAUGGAUGAUUCGACUCUUGCAUCUUCGCCCAUCGAACCAAAUUUGAAGUUGGAGAAGUAUGGAGAGGAAGACAAAGUCGACACAACUUUGUUCAAACAAAUUGUCGGAUCUCUGAGAUAUGUGUGCAACAGUUCACCUGAUAUAUGUAUCUCAGUCAAAUUAGUGAGCAGAUAUAUGAGUGAGUCAAUGGUGUCACACAUGAAGACUUCAAGAAUAAUCCUGAGAUACUUAAAAGGAUUGACAAACUAUGGAAUUUUAUUUCGAUGAAACUCUAAAAGAAAAGAAGUUAUGGUUACUUGUUAUUCAAAUGUUGAUUGGUAUGGAGAUUAGGAAGAUCUAAGAAGCACUACCGGGUAUUUCUUUCAAGUAUUUGAUGCCCCAAUCUCAUGGUGCUCGAGAAAGUAACCUGUAUUAGCAUUAUCAUCGUGUGAGGCUGAAUAUAUAGCAGAAUUUUAUAUUGCAUGUCAAGUAAUUUGGAUCAUAUAUAUGCUGGAAGAGAUUGAGGUCGAAGUGAAGAAACCUCUAGUACUGCAGAUCGACCACAAGUCACCCAUAAAUCUUGUAAAAAAUCCAGUUUUUCAUGGAAGAAGUAAGCACAUAUAAGCUAAAUUCCACAUCUUAAGGGAGAAGGUGAAUCGAUGUGAACUUGAAGUAAGGCAUUGCUCAAGUGAAGCACAAUUGACCGACAUUUUCAUCAAAAGAUUGAAGAUUGACAAGUUCCUAACAUUGAGAAAGAAAUUAAGAAUAGUUCAAAUCGUCAAUGAUUAGUGUGUUUCGACAACUUGGAUUAUAUGGGGGUAUAUUGAGAUAUUAGAUAUAAUCCAAGUUGAGUUAUGUGGCACAAGCCCGGAGCUAAUUAGGUUUUAGGGUUUGUUACUUAGUUUGUUAUUUUACUUAGUAGUCAAGUCACUUAGGUGUAUAUAAAUAGACACUUUGUGAUUCAGUUUUAUUAUUCCUUCAAUUCAAUAAUACAGUCUUUAUUUUCUUAUUCUCUCUUUCUAUUCUCACUAAAAGUGCCUUAAGAGCUAACAUACAUUAGAUACUUAUUUAAUAAGCAAUUAAUUAUUUAACAAACUAAACAGAAAACUAACUUUAUGACUAAAUUCUUCUUCCUUUUGAAAUAGCCUCCCGCAAGUUAAACUUUGAUAAAUAUUGGCCACAUUCAACUUGGGCAUAAGAAAAUUGAAAAUGACUUGGUGAAAAUGUGUGUUAUAUGAUUAUGAGAAGAAAUAGGAAUCACCUUUAUAGCUCUUGCUUGGAAUUUCUCCCUAACAAUAUGGCAAUAUAUCUCAUGAUGCUUAUUCCUUUAAUGAAAGACUGUAUUUGCAGCUAUAUGAAAUGCACUUUGGCUCACAAUAUAAAAUGAGUGGCUUAGACGAGUCGAAUUGUAAAUUAAGCAACAAAUAUAAGAUCCACUAAGGCUCACAUGCUAAAGCAGACAAAGUUGUAUAUUCAACUUCAUAUGACGGUCUUGACACAAUACUUUCCUUUUUAAUUUCUGUGAAAUGAGAGAAGAACCAAUGGCCUGACAUAGAUCUUCUGGUAUCAAUACACUCUGUCCAACCAGCAUUGAGAAAGCUUGUAAAUGUAUAAUUGAACUUCUAUGGAAUAUUAACACUCAACCACGACAAUGCUUAAAGUACCUUAAAACUCUACAAGCAGCAUUGUAAUGAACAAUGGAAGGAUUGGAAAAAAUUAGUUUAGUUUUGAGUGAUGAAUUUGAUAUAUGGUAUAGUAGUGUUAAGGUACAUAAGUAUGUCAAUGGGUAUUUUAAAUGAUGGUAUUAUUGGACAAGUGACUUCAACACAAAAAAGAUGGCGGAUUGUGUUUGUUUGAAAUACAGUGUUCAAAUAAAAUAUCUUUGAUAAAAUUAGAGUUUAAAAUAAGUUUGUAUAACAAACAAGAAAUAACCAACAGAAUAAAAAAAUCAGAAUGGAAAGAAAUAAAUACAUCAGAAGUAAAUAAAUGACUAAAAUUUAAAGAGAUAAGGUAAGAUAAAACUGCAUUAUAGAUUUAUAGAGGUUCGUGCCUAACCAUUUGAUGUACUCCUCUCUCCACAGACCUCCUUAAAAUAGCCUGGAGUUUUACAUUGGCUAUCCUCCAAAGCAAACAGGAGUUUUAACUAUGGAGACUCCCAACCAAACCCGAUAUUUUAACACCAAUACUAUCUUGAAUCAAACGAGAGAUUUUGACACAAGUCUAAUCUCAAGAACCAAACGAGAGAUUUUAACUCCAAGCUAAGAUCACGAACUAAACGCGAGAUUUUACCAGGUUGAUCUCGAAAACCAAACAUAGAUUUUACCAAGUUCACCUCAACAAUCAAAGAAGAGAUUUUUAAUAUAUUUAGCUCAUAACCAAAAUAACAUUCUCAUAAGAAAAAUAUUAUAACAAUGUCUGACACCGAAUCAAACUACCUCACAAAUAAAAAUUCACUCUCGAAUUGAGCUAUUUGGUGAAAUAAUUGAUGAAUCAAUUAUGGAACAAAUGGGUGAACUUAUGUCGGACUUGUUAUGCAAGUCACUACAAUAUUCCAAAUUCCAAAUUAUGUGAGCCAGGUGGAUUUUGAAUUUGAUAUGGAAAUAUAUGUUGAUGAAAGAUAACAUUCUUAGAUAUAAAAAUUUCUUGUGAAUGAAGGUUUAAUAAGAUUAAACCUUUGAAACCAACAACAUAUCCUAAAAAUAAUGAUUAAUUUGCUUUUCAAACAAGUUUAGUCAUGUGGUUUUGUGAAGUACAAAUAUAACAAGGGGAACUAAAAUCUUUUAUUUGACUCAUUAGGUAGAGAAUCAUUGAGCAUUUUAUAGGGUUAUUUAACAGAAAAAUUAUUGGAACUAGACUUACAAUUUGGUGAAUCAUCGAUUUGAGUACCACCAUUAAUCAUAAGUCUGUAUAAUCCUUCAAUUUGACUAGUCAAACAAAUCUUCUUUUGUGAUUUCGAAUCCUACAAGAGCCAUUUAUUAUUAAAAAGUGAUAAACAAAAUUAAGAGAAUAACAUAGUUUAGGAACUCACAUGAAAUUCAAAGAAAAGAUGAGAUUGUAUAAUACAUAUGUCAAGGAAAGUUUAGGUGAAAGGUAAUCGUGCCAUCCUAUUUAGCUAUAAUAGAAGAAUCAUUGAAAAGACGUACAAUUGUCACACUCUUUAUAAUAAAAAUAUUGACAUUUGCACUAAAGUAAUGGUCUUUGUAUUUGGUUUGCAGUCCAAUUUUAAAACUUGUUUAUUUUUUUAGGGUAGGUGGGUUAGGCUCAUUUCUACCACCAUUCUUAUUUUAUUGAACAAUUUUUAUCAUUAAAGUUGGUGGCGAUGCAUGGGAUAUAAUAUAUACUAGUUAGUUAGUAAGUAAUAAUACACACAUCUUUGACUUUUUUUUGUUUUUUUCAUGAAUUUGUAAGUUGUAUUUCUAUCUUUUUAAUUAUUUGAGAAAAAAACAAUAAUGUUAAGUAACAAACCCCUAAGGGUUGGUUGUAACAAACCCCUAAGGGUUGGUUGUGUUUCUCUUAAAAUUUUAGAUUUGAAUCUUGCUGGAUGUUAAUCAUUCUUAUGUUUGAUCAAUCCAUAUAGAAUUUUGUUCAAACUUUAAAUAGGUCACCGCUAAUGGACGAUGGGAUUGGUUCUUUUGAAUUAGUCAAUUGUAAUGCCAUAUAUCAAUAUUUUUAUUUAAAAAACUAGUAACAUCUCUCUUUCAUAACAAUGAGUGGAUUAUAGAUUUAGAUUGUACUUGGCACAUUAAUCCAAACAAAGAUGUGUUUGAAGAAUUAUGUGAUCAAGAAGGUGGAUCAGUGCUGCUAAAAAAUAAUAAAGCCUACAAGAUUGCAAGGAUUAGAUCUGUGAGAUUCAAGCUUCAUGAUGAAACCAUAAGGUUGUUGACAUAUGUCAGGUAUGUACCUGAUCUAAAGAGAAAUUUUAUUUCUCUGGGUGAAUUCGACAAGAAAUGAUAUAUUUUCAAAGGAGAUCAUGGUAUCUUGAGAAUCAUGAAGGGGCCGAAGGAAGAAUGACUUGUAUUCCCUUGAAGCUGAGGUCAUAAGUAGGUCAGUUGAUAUCGCGUCAUCAAAGCACUUGACAAAGACUGAGUUAUGGAACAUGAGAUUUGGCCAUGUCAAUGAAAAAGGUCUGGUUGAAUUAGAAAAGUAAAAUCUAUUAGGUAGUGACAAGGUCAAAAAGCUGAAGAUUUGUGAACCAUGUGUAUUUGGCAAAGCUUGUGGAGUGAAGUUCAACAAAGGCCAAAAAAGAACAAAUUAAUCUCUUUAUACAUCCAUGCUGAUCUUUGGGGACUUACAAGAAAUCCAUCACACUCGGGUGCAAGUUAUUUUCUAUCCAUAGUUGAUGAUUACUCUAGAAAGUUAUGAAUAUUCAUUUAGAAAACUAAGGAUGAGACUUUUGAGAACUUCAAAAGUUGGAAAACUUUGGUGGAAAUUUAGAAUGGAAGGAAGGUCAAGAGGUUAAGGACAAAUUAUGGCAUUGAGUUUUGAAAUGAUUCAUUUAAAAGUUAGUGUGUUAUGUCUAGGACUACAAGGAACAAAACUGUUACAAGUACACCCCGGAAAAAUGGUCUGGCUGAAAGUUUUAGUCGAACUAUCUUUGAACGGGUGAGGUGCAUGUUGGUUAGUGUUACGUUGAAUAAGGUGUUUUAGGCUUAGGUUGUUGUGACUGCAGCACACCUGAUAAAUAGGUGUCCCUCAACUGCCUUGGGGAUGAAGACAUCUGAGGAAGUCAGGUCAGGUCAUCCACAAAAUCUCGACAGGCUUAGAGCAUUUGGUUGUGUAUCAUAUGCUCACAUUUGACAAGACAAAGUCAAAUCUAGAGUUAUGAGAUGCAUGUUACUUGGGUAUCCUGAGGGAGUCAAAACUUAUAAGUUAUGGUUCCUAGAACCUGGUCACAAGAGGUGCAUCAUUAGUCGUGAUAUAGUUUUCAAUGAAUUUGAGAUGGACUUUAAGAAAAUUGAUUAUGGUGUGGUUAGUUGAAAGAUCUUUGAAUAAGAAGAAAAGAAGGAAGAAGUUCUUGUUGAGGUAAAUCACUUAGGAAAUGAAGUGCACAAUCAUGGGGGAAAUCCAGAUGAAGUUGUUGAAGAAGCACAGGAUACUGAAGAAAAUGAGGAAACUGUUGAUGACUACCUGUUGGCAAGAGACUGGUCAAGAAGACACAUUAAGCCACCUCAAGGGUUUGGUUAUGCAUACCUCAUAGUCUUUGCCUUAAUUUCAGCAAGUGAGGUUUUCGAUGAAAAACCUAGAGAUUACAAAGAAACUAUGAGGAGUUGAAUUAAGAAGAAAUGGUUGAAAGUCAUGGAUGAUGAGAUAAAAUCUCUUCAUGAUAACCACACCUGGAAGCUGGUCAAAAAACCUGUUGGGGCUAGGUUAGUCAGCUGUAAAUGGAUUUUCGAAGUAAAGGAAGGAAUUGAAUGAGUUAUGUUGAAAAGGUUCAAGGCAAUACGGGUUGCAAGGGGCUUCACUCAAAAGGAAGGAGUGGACUUCGAUGAUGUACUAUCUUCUGUUGUGAAGCAUAGAUUCACUAGAAUGCUUUUUGCCAUGGUGUUUAGGUUCGACAUAGAAUUGAAGCAGAUGAGUAUGAAGACUUCCUUCUUAUAUGUUGAUCUCGAUGAAACGAUCUUGAUGAAGCAAACUGAAGGGUAUGAAGAAAAAAGUAAGGAUAUGUGCAAGCUGGACAGGUCACUAUAUGGCCUGAAGCAAUCUCCUAGGCAAUGGAACAGGAGAUUCGGCAAGUUUAUGACACAUAUGGAGCAACUUCGAUCAUUGUGUCUAUUUUAUGUUCUUGCCAGAAAAUUCAUUUGUCAUCUUAUUGCUCUAUGUGGAUGACUUCCUUAUAGCAAGCAACCCCGUCGAAGAAGUAAUGAGGGUGAAGUCUGAACUUAAUUAGGAAUUUAAAAUGAAGGACAUUGGAGUUGCAACCAGGAUUCUAGGUAUCUACAUCAAGAGAGAUAAAAAACUGUCAAAAUUAUGUUUAUCUCAAGAGUCAUAUCUAAGGAAAAUUUUCGACGGGUUUGGUAUGUCAAACUCAAAACUUGUUAUAACGCCAACAACUUAGCAAUUCAAGCUGAGUAUAACUCAAAUUCCUAGUACUGGAGCUGAAAGUGCUUAUAUGAAUAGGAUUUCAUAUGCUAGUAUAGUGGGUUCUUUGAUGUAUGAUGUGGUAUGUAUCAUGUCAUACAUAGCUUAUGCAGUAAGCCUUGUAAGUAGAUACAUGUCUAACCCUGGAAAAGCUCAUUGGCAAGCUUUGAAAUGAAUUCUAAGAUACAUAAAAGGAUCCCUGAGUAAGGUCCUAAUUAAUGGUGGAAUCAGAGGUCGGGUUGACCAAAGGAAAAUCGAAGGAUUUAUGGACUCUAACUAUGUAGGAUUGUAUGGACACCAAAAAAUCUCUUAUGUCUCUUCGGAAAUUAAACGAUUUCUUUUCGAUAGUAUUACUUUAUUCUUAGCAUUGAAUUUCUCAACAAUAUUUAUAUUAAUCCUAGUAAAAAAUCAGUUCCACUAUUUGAAUAAGGUAAAAUAGAAUUAAAUAAAAAAAUGUAUUCUUCCUAAGUCAGAGAAAGAAAAAUGAUUCUAACUGAUGGAAAUAUAGAGACUUAAUACCACGUUAUUAUCAAUUAAGAAUAUAUAGUAUAUGUCCACAAAUUAAUAGACAAAAGAUCGCCAGCAUAUUUCUAAACAAAACAAAAAACAGUCAAAGUUACUAUAUAUAACAUAUACAUGCAUAGUUGGACUAUGUAUGCCGCCACAAACUUUAGUGAUAAGAAUAUUAUUCAAUCAAAUAAAACGAAAUGGUGGUAGACAUGAUCAUAAUCCACCUACCCUCUAAACAACAAAUAGAAUAUUAAUGCUAGUGCCCAUUUUUUUAUCAUAAAGAAUGUAACAUUUUUUAGCUAUAUAUAAAGGUUGCAACCAAGGUUCAGUCCUCAUCAAACAUAAUACCUCAAAUUGAAACAACCUUAACUUGAACCUUCUCAACCAACAAAAACAACAACAUGGGCAGUGUUGAAAUUCCGACAAAGGUUCUUACCAACACAUCUGCUCAAAUUAAGAUGCCUGUGGUUGGAAUGGGAUCAGCACCUGACUUCACAUGCAAGAAAGACACCAAAGAAGCAAUCAUUGAAGCCAUCAAACAAGGUUACAGACACUUUGAUACUGCUGCUGCUUAUGGCUCCGAACAAGCUCUCGGUGAAGCUUUGAAUGAGGCUAUUCAACUUGGUCUUGUCACUAGAGAACAGCUUUUUGUUACUUCUAAACUUUGGGUUACUGAAAAUCAUCCUCACCUUGUUCUUCCUGCUCUACAAAAAUCUCUCAAGUAAGUAAACUAGAAUUAGUCACUUUUGUUAUCUCUAUCGUGAAAGAGACUUAUUGGAUUUGUUGAUUAUUUUGUGCAGGACUCUUCAGUUGGAUUACUUGGAUUUGUAUUUGAUUCAUUGGCCACUUAGUUCUCAGCCUGGAAAGUUUUCAUUUCCAAUUGAUGUGGCUGAUCUAUUGCCAUUUGAUGUAAAAGGUGUGUGGGAAUCCAUGGAAGAAGCUUUGAGACUUGGACUCACGAAAGCUAUUGGUGUCAGUAACUUCUCUGUCAAGAAACUUCAAAAGCUACUAUCUGUUGCCACUGUUCUUCCUGCUGUUAAUCAAGUAAGUCAUUAACCAAACAUCAAUUUAGAUUAAAACUUUGAUUGAUUAUCAAUAUUAUUUAUAUAAUGUACUUGUGUAUGUAUGUAUAGGUAGAGAUGAACCUUGCAUGGCAACAAAAGAAGCUGAGAGAAUUUUGCAAUGAAAAUGGAAUAGUGUUAACUGCAUUUUCACCGUUGAGGAAAGGUGCAAGCCGAGGAGCAAAUGAGGUUAUGGAGAAUGAUAUGCUUAAAGAGAUUGCAGAUGCUCAUGGAAAGUCUGUUGCACAAAUUUCUCUGAGAUGGUUAUAUGAACAAGGAAUCACUUUUGUUCCAAAGAGCUAUGAUAAGGAGAGAAUGAGUCAAAAUUUGAGAAUCUUUGAUUGGACACUGACAAAGGAGGAUCAUGAGAAAAUUGAUCAAAUUAAGCAGAAUCGUUUGAUCCCUGGACCAACCAAGCCAAGUCUCAAUGAUCUUUGGGAUGAUGAAAUAUAAAAGAAAAGUUGCUAAAGUUAUUCAACUUUGCUUUGGCAUCUAUCUUUUCUGUUUAUUUUAUACUACUUGUUUCUUUUGAGCUUUGAAUUACCAAUGUUUUUGUAUUGGGUUUAAAUGAUCAAUUUUAAAUUUAAUAAUUUUCUCCAACAUAUCUUAUAAUAGUGUUUUACUUUACUGUCAUGAAAAUUGUAAUUUUUUUUAUCAAAAAAAAUUGUAUUGACUUGAUUAUACAAUUCAAUUAUAGGAUGUGUGUCCAACAAGUAAUAAUAUUAUACUAAGAAGUUGAAAGAGUGGUAUACAACUAAUAUCAAAACUUAAGAAUGCAUAAUCACCACAUUAUAACCCAACAAGCAGAAUGGUAGUUUGCAUUAUAUUUAAGAAAUUUAUGUUCAUGAUAGUGUGAAUGAGAAAUCAAUGAAAUUGUCCCAUGUAGAAAUGAGCAGUGCUAUAAACACUAAUUUGUUGAAUCCAUUUUUAAAAUGUUCAAUCUAAAUCAUAAUGGGCAACAAGAGUCAUGAUUGUCCUAAAAUAAUCUUUCGAUGAAACCGGCGAGAAAGUAUCUUUAAAGCCAAUCUCUUCCUUUUGAGUAUAAUCCUUAACAACAAGAUGGGUUUUAUACAUUUCCACAUUAUCGUUAAAAUCCUGCUUGGUCUUAAAAAUUCAUUUGCAACCAAUUGGUUUCACACCUUAUGGUAACAGGACAAGUUCCCAAACUUUAUUGUCUUGCAUGGACUUAUACCCCUCCUUCAUUGCUUCAAUUCACUUUUCCAAGUUGUAAUCUUGCAUGGAUUGAGGAAAGUUGAUUGGAUCAUCUUCCAUCAUACCAUUAUUUUCCUCAUGUUCUUGGAGAAAGAAUAUGUAAUCAUCCGGAAUAGCAUUUCUCCUUUCUCUAGUGGAUCUCCGCAAAGGUAUUGGUUCUUGUAACACUGGUUCUUGAGAAUCUUGAGUUUGUUCUUCAUGAAUUACUAAAUCAUCUUGAGUUUGAGGAAUUUCAACAAUUUCUUGUUGAGGUGUCGUUCUUACUUGAUCAAAAGCAACUAUUUGAAUUGGUUCUGGAAUUGUUAUAGAUUUUUCCUCUAAGACAAAGUCUCUAACCUUAUUAUUCCCCCCAAACUCAAUAUCCUCAAAAAAUAUGGUUGUUCCCGUCUCCAAAAUUGAAUUGAAUUUGGGAUCGUAAAAUUUGUAGCCCCUAGAUCUUUCAGAAUAGUCAAUAAAGUAGUUGCUUAUUGUUCGGGAGUCCAAUUUAUUUUCAUUUGGCAUGUAAGGUCUUAACUCAACUAGACAUCCCCACACAUGAAAAAAAAUUAGACUAGGCUUUCUCCUAGUCUAAAGCUCGUAAGGUGUUAUGGCAGUUGCCUUUAUUGGUACUCUAUUUAGGAUGUAAGUUGCAGUCUUUCUCCCCAGAGUGACUCCGGCAAGGUAGAAUGACAAAUCACACUCCUUACCAUAUUCUUAAGAGUCCGAUUUCGUUUUUCAGCAACACCAUUCAUAUUAUGAGAUCAUGGCAUGGUGUAUUGUGGGACGAUUCCACAUUCCUCCAGAUAUUUGGAAAAAGACUUUGGACGCUGUCCACCUGAACCGUCAUAUAUGUCGUAAUAUUCACCGUCACUGUCAGACUUGAUUUUCUUAAGUCUUUUGUUGAGUUGAUUCUCAACUUCAACCUUAAACGAUUUGAACACAUCCAAUGAUUGUGACUUUUCAUGUAUAAUAAAUAUGUGCGCAUAUCUAGAAUAGUCGUCUAUGGAUGAUAUAAAAUAUUGUUGCCCAUUCCAAGAAGGUGUGAUAAAUGAUCCACAAAUGUUUGUAUGUAUUAAUUUUAAGACAUCUAUAGCUCUAUAUGCAACAUAUGUCUUUGUUUUGGUUUGUUUACCUUUAACGCACUCAACACAAACAUCAAAGUUUGUGAAUUCAAUGGAAUCCAAAAUUCCAUCGGACACUGGUCGCUCAACUCUAUUUUAAGAGAUGUGAACAUAUGCACUUGUGUCAUAGUGCUCCUGAAUUGUUAUCAUCAAUUUUACGCUUAGUACCACGUGAUUCCACAAUUAAGGAUUUGCCAUAUGUAGCUAUUAUGUCAAGCAAAUAUAGAUUAUUAUGACCCGUAAGUGAUCAGUUACAACAAUAUCUGAAGUGAAAUACAACUUGAACAUAUUGUUUCCAAAUGAACAAAAGUAACUUGAUUUUUCCAAAUAAGAAACUGAAAUUAAGUUUCGUCUGAAUGACGGAACCACAAAAGUGUUUUUCAAAUCCAAAUAAAAUCUGAUACACAUCAAUAAAAUAAAAUUCCUUACAGCUUCCACCUCUACCGAAUUGCCAUCUCCCACAUAGAUUUAUCUUUCAACAUCAUUUGGAUUCCGGUAGUUCAGGUAACCCUUCAUUGAAACAUUGAUGUUAGUAGUUGCUCCAGAGUCUAACCACCAAGUGUUUCCAGGUUCCUGAAGCUAAAUUGACCUCAGAACAAACCAAACCAUGACUUAUGCGAUUGGAGCGAUCCCGCUUCUCAUAAUUUUUCCUCUGUUUAGAGGUACUAGAUUCCGUAGGAGAAGAUGGUUUCUUCAUCCUUAAUGCAAGGUCAAGAUCCAUGUAGCCAGGAACAAUUUUUAUGUUUUCAUGCCAAUCCUUAAAAUUUAUCCCAUUAAGGACCGGAACCUUAUUCAUAUUAGCAUAUAUUAAAGCAAUUGUAGUUGAAAAAUAGAACAUAAUAAAUACUAUAAUAUACUUAUACAAAAAAAAAACCGAAUUAUAAAUUUGUUCAAAUAAAGACAUAACCCAUCUUAAGAUACCUAGUACAACAUCACUAUUGAGUCUUUGGACACUAAUAUUAACUGAUAGUGGUACUCUUGUUGUAACGAUUAAACAUUGAUAAUAAAAAAAUGUCAGAUAAUAAACCCCUCUUUGGAUUGAUUUAUUAUUCGCAUGUGAAACCUUAUAAUUAUAACAUGUUUACCAUCACAGACGCGUAUGAAAACUGACCAACCACCAACUGUCCUUUGGGUCAAUUGAUACUCGCAUGGAUAAGCAUACACAGCCAGAAAAAUAUUUAACAUUUUUCAUAAGUAAUUUCCACAAAAGAGAUCACUUUGGCGAUUUUUCAUUUCAACAACUCACUUAAAAGAUUAAACUUUGUAUAAAUUUAAAAACCAUAGCCAAAACUUGAACAAAAUUAUACAAAAAUUAAUGGAUGAAAUAACUAAGGGGCAUGAUCAUACAAACAAAAACGACAUGCCUGUGUUCCAAUCAGUGCUCUCUUUAUUAUGCGAAGCACAACAAAACAAUAACAAGUAAUAUAUUAUAUAUUAAUACUGAUAAUAAAAACAAAUUUAACAAAAUUAUUUAUUUAUUAUCAAAAUAACUUGUUUUAAUAAAUAAAUAAAAUUAAACAUAAACUUUAAAACAUGUGUGGCUCUAAAUUGUGUGUGACGUGUAUUAAGAAGGUUGUCAAUGCAAGGUAUGCAUUAACAGAACCUUAUUUUAAACAUUAUCGUGAAGACAUCACAUUAUCAAACGCAUAUGCAGUAAGGUGGAUCAAUAAUAUUCCAUUGGAAAAGUGGACUAGGGCAUGCGACAACGGUCAACGAUGGGGUCACAUGACAACAAAUCUUGUGGAAUCAAUGAACUUUGUCUUCAAAGGCAUCUGAAACCUACUUAUAACCGCUCUAGUGUAAGCAACUUAUUUUAGGCUAGGGACGCUGUUUUAGAUCAGACGUUCCAAAUGAAGUUUAGUGUUACAAUUUGGGCAGUUGUUCAGUGAUGCUUCAAUGAAAUUUAUUAAAGAGGAAGUUGUCAAAGCUAACACACAUGUGGUCAUGGUGUUUGACCGUACUAAAGGUUGAUACAGUGUUACUGGGUCAAUGGAUCACAAUGAAGGCAUGUCGAGGGAACACUAUCAAGUGGAACUAGAUAAAAGGUGGUGCGAUUGCGGAAAGUUUCAAGCAUUUUGUAUGUCAUGCUCCCAUCUCAUAGCGGCAUGUUCAAAGGUUCGACGGGAUCCUUCUAACUUAUUAUGUGACAUUUACAAAGUCAUAAUCAUUUGUAAUGUUUACAAAAUUAGCUUUUAGGUGGUAGCAAAGGAGGAUUACUGGUCUGCAUAUCAAGGGGACACUCUCUGACACAAAAAAAUAAUGUGAAGAAAGAAAAAGGGUCGCCCAAACAACACCCGUAUUCGAACCGAAAUGGAUACGACAAACAAAAUGGUUAGAUUGUGUAGUUCAUGUCGUCAUCCUGGUCAUAAGCACAACAAGAUAAUUUUAAUUGUAACUCUUUUACUUUAUAUUAAAAACAACAUUCAUUUCAUAUGACAAGUAGAACAAAUAUAAUGAUUAAACAACAACACAAGAAACUAAAACCAAUAAAAUAACGUCACAAAUAAAUACAACACAUAAACAAUAUAACUAUACGGUUACAACCAUCAAAACAAUUUUGUGAGAAGUAUACAUCAUCAUGUGAACGUCUCUGUCAGUUUUAAUAUUGACACAGAAACGAACUUCUCCAGUUUGGUUGAACGUCGUAUAAAGUCAUUGAAUUCUUCUGAUCCUUUCACCAUCUGCAAUGUCUUCAUCUAACCAACGGUUUAAGUACCUGUUAAGAUGUUCGAACUUAUCUACAUUCCAAAGUCGAAUCUUGAUCGGAGACUGCACUACUGAAAAGAUUAAAUCGCCACUUCUCUUGUGAAGACAUUUUAAAGAAUAUCAAAGGAGAUUGAAGAAAAAUGGAAUGAGAGAAUAAGAAGUUGUGUGAAAAAUUAUGGGAGUGUGAUGUUGUGUAUUUAUAGAUGCAGUGGUGGAGCAGUAGCCACAUGCAUUGGCGUACACGUAGAGUGGACUAUGCAUGCGCCAUUGUGUGUGGCACCUACACAUGCAUGCGCCACGGAUGUGUCAAUGCAUAUGGCGUCAAUGACUAAUAUUUUCAUUGGGUGCACCAAUGCAACUGGCACCUAGGUUAGAUGUUUUUUUGAAAGAUGAUUAUUUCGGUAAAUACUUUAAAAAAAUGGUUAUUUAAAAAUUUUAUUAAAAAAAUAGAUUAUUUAAAUAUAAAAAAAUCACCUCAAAUUAAUAAUACAAAUUAGAUUAUCAUGCACAACUUCUGACUUUUUUUCAAAAUUUAAAAAAAAAUAACUUAUUUAAUUAACAUAAUAAUUUUUAAGAAAUUAAAUAUGACCGUUUAUUAAUUAAGAAUUAAAGUGAGGGAAAUCCUCAAACCUUAAUUUAAUCUUUGAUUUGAACUCCAAUAUCUUAAGCCUUAUUCUUGAAUUUCUCAUUCCAAUUAAAUUAUUUAUAAGAUUAAACGAAUCAUCAAGAUAAGAAAAUGAUUCAUUUUUAAAUUGAUGUUAUAAUGAUAAUACGAUAUUUAUUAAUACUUUACAUACACUUUAAUAUAUUUCAGAAUAUUUAAAUUGUUCAUGAAUUGAUAAUUUUUUUUGUGUGAAUAUCAUAUUAUUUUUAUUUUUUUAGCAUGAAAGCUAAAGAAGUAAAAAGAAAAAUAUCCAAUUGUUUUUGUUGGUAGUAGCACCGGUUUGACAAGAAUUUGUUCGAUCCGGGUUUGCGUAUGCUCAUUGCUCAACUUGUUCCAAUUUGGAUUUUGGUGACAAACUUUAAUUCCCUGUCACCCACAAAAUAACACAAUAGCAGCCCCUUGCUCUGUAGAAAGGUCGUAACAUAAUUUCUCAAAUUCUUACUUUCUUUUUAGUAUUAAGAAACUCUCAAAUUUAUUUAUGGAAGAAUUACGUAAAAACCUAAGUUCGUGCCAUUAACUUGCCACCCUACAAGUCACUCUUAGAAAGAAUUUUAUAAAUAAAUAAACUUUUAUUAUUAUUAUAAAAUCUAGAUGGCUACCAAUAGUCAAUAAGAUAGCGAUGCAACAUGCAAAUUUCUAUACAAAAUGAAACAAACAAAAAAGGAGUCAAACAUGUAAUGUAUUAAUUAUAUACAUGCCACCACAAACUUUACUCAUUACAAUAUUAUUCAAUUAAAUCAAAUCAAGUGGUAGAAAUUAUCAUAAUCCACCUACCCUCUAAACAACAAAUAGAAUAGAAUAAUGCUACUCACCAUUUUUUAGCUAUAUAUAAUAGUUUCUAGCAUCAAACAUAAUACCUCAAAUUGAAACAACCUUACCUUAAACCUUCUCAACCCAACAACAACAACAAAAACAACAACAUGGGCAGUGUUGAAAUUCCAACAAAGGUUCUUACCAACACAUCUGCUCAAAUUAAGAUGCCUGUGGUUGGAAUGGGAUCAGCACCUGACUUCACAUGCAAGAAAGACACUAAAGAAGCAAUCAUCGAAGCCAUCAAACAAGGUUACAGACACUUUGAUACUGCUGCUGCUUAUGGCUCCGAACAAGCUCUUGGUGAAGCUUUG
rnacentral:lncRNA from 1 species